GACGAACGCUGGCGGCGUGCUUAACACAUGCAAGUCGAACGGAAAGGCCCUGCUUUUGUGGGGUGCUCGAGUGGCGAACGGGUGAGUAACACGUGAGUAACCUGCCCUUGACUUUGGGAUAACUUCAGGAAACUGGGGCUAAUACCGGAUAGGAGCUCCUGCUGCAUGGUGGGGGUUGGAAAGUUUCGGCGGUUGGGGAUGGACUCGCGGCUUAUCAGCUUGUUGGUGGGGUAGUGGCUUACCAAGGCUUUGACGGGUAGCCGGCCUGAGAGGGUGACCGGCCACCUUGGGACUGAGAUACGGCCCAGAAUCCUACGGGAGGCAGCAGUGGGGAAUAUUGCACAAUGGGCGGAAGCCUGAUGCAGCAACGCCGCGUGCGGGAUGACGGCUUUCGGGUUGUAAACCGCUUUCGCCUGUGACGAAGCGUGAGUGACGGUAAUGGGUAAAGAAGCACCGGCUAACUACGUG
rnacentral:rRNA from 1 species